rnacentral:rRNA from 1 species
AUGGAUCCGGACGAGGUGAAGUCGAAGCUCCAAGGCCUGGCCUUCGGCAACGUCCUGGCCGCCGCCGCCCGCGACUACAAGAAGGAAGUUAUAGCUAAAGAGAAGGCUCAAGCAGCACCUGCCAUCCACGAUGAAGUCGAUCUUGAUGAGUUACUGGAUGACCCAGAGCUUGAGAAAUUGCAUGCUGAACGGCUUGCUGCUCUUAAGAGAGAGGUCGAGAAGCGUGAGGUGCUAAAGAGGCAAGGUCAUGGUGAAUACAGGGAAAUAACUGAAGGGGACUUCUUAGGAGAGGUCACUUGUGGUGACAAGGUCAUCUGUCAUUUCUACCAUCGUGAAUUUUACCGCUGCAAGUAA